CCAUUCAAUUCAUCAAGUAAAGCUAAAAAUUCUCAUUUGAGACGCUAGAUCUAUUGAAGUUUGGCACCAAAGUACAUACAGAAUACCCAUAAUAAAAACCAUAAGCUUUUCUCUUAAAGACUCAGCCGACAUGUAUUGCAAUUACAUUUGCUGAUUCGGAGACAAAAGAAAAGCUGAAAUCAGAGGACAACCCACGAAUGAUUGUAUCAAAUGAAUCACGGGUCGGAGACAGUGAAAGGAGCUACCUGCAAACUAAGGGAGAUUGCAUAAACCCCUACAACCACCAAAGUGAAGAACUGUAGUCACUCUAGCUUCUGCUGCUACUCUCUCCCGUCUCUGUGAGGAUGUGAAGUGGAGAGAGAGGCUUGCGUCAGCCUUGUGGGUUUGUCACGGAGGAGAAGAGAGAAGAGAUGUCGACUCGAUCCAAAUCUAUAACACAGCUCGGGAAACAGAGUGAGAAUUUAUUCACCCUUUUAAAUAUAUAAUAUAUUUGUGUAUAUAUGAAUGAGUAUAUAUUUGCUCUGUA